CCUUGAACUUUUCCUGUACUGUAGUCAUCUGUUUAAUUAGCUCUGGCAACUGCUAUGUAAGGUUCUGUCCUAUCCAUUUACUCUGUUCCUUGAAUCUGGUUGCCAGAAUUAAGGAUGCUACAAAGAACACAGAAUCUUGAAGUAGGGAAUUCUUGAACUCAGGUAAUUAAUAAAAUGUCUCCAACAUCUCUAAAGAUCACUCUAAGGCAACUCAUGGAGGGGUCUUCAAAGACCUUGCAAGAAGUACUAACUAUGGAGUAUCGGCUAAGUCAAGCUUGUAUGUUUUAAUUGAUAAAGACCAGAGUCCAAAAUGGAAACCAGCUGAUCUAAAAGAAGUUACUGAGGAAGAUUUGAAUAAUCACUUUAAGUCUUUGGGAAGCAGUGAUUUGAAAUUUUGAGGUGACAGGCUUUUAAGAAAAAGUUUGUCAAUCCUUGUCUUAGAAGAUGGAAAAAUGUGAGAUUCUCUUGAGUGGUAUAUCUAAUUGAAAUGGGAUCUUUGUUUGGCUUUUGGUAGUGGCUUGUAUGUUGAUGAAAUCAACUUAGGUAUAGAAUAUAAAAAAUAAAGACCCUGAAAAUUGUUUUGG
rnacentral:sRNA from 1 species